rnacentral:rRNA from 1 species
GCAGUCGAACGGGAUCCAUCAAGCUUGCUUGGUGGUGAGAGUGGCGAACGGGUGAGUAAUGCGUGACUAACCUGCCUUGUACUUUGGAAUAGCUCCUGGAAACGGGUGGUAAUGCCGAAUGUUCCACGUUAUCGCAUGAUGGUGUGGGAAAGGGUUUACUGGUAUGAGAUGGGGUCGCGUCCUAUCAGCUUGUUGGUGGGGUGAUGGCCUACCAAGGCUUCGACGGGUAGCCGGCCUGAGAGGGUGACCGGCCACAUUGGGACUGAGAUACGGCCCAGACUCCUACGGGAGGCAGCAGUGGGGAAUAUUGCACAAUGGGCGAAAGCCUGAUGCAGCGACGCCGCGUGCGGGAUGACGGCCUUCGGGUUGUAAACCGCUUUUAGCAAGGAGCAAGCGAGAGUGAGUGUACUUGUUGAAUAAGCGCCGGCUAACUACGUGCCAGCAGCCGCGGUAAUACGUAGGGCGCAAGCGUUAUCCGGAAUUAUUGGGCGUAAAGAGCUCGUAGGCGGUUUGUCGCGUCUGGUGUGAAAGUCCACUGCUUAACGGUGGAUUGGCGCCGGGUACGGGCAGGCUAGAG